GCCACCGUUGCUCAGUUGGGAGAGCACCUGAUUUGUAAUCUGGAGGUCGGGGGUUCGAGUCCCCCCGGUGGCU
rnacentral:tRNA from 1 species